ACUCAAGAUGGCGAAACCUCGGCCGCCGCGGCUAUAUUCGCCGCGGCGUCACUGCCUUCCUGGCCUGGUGGUGAGAGGAAGUCGGGCCGCGAAAGCUUCCUGAGGAGAAAAUGGAGGGCCCUUCUCUCACACCGACGAGAAAAGUUCGAGGGGGAAAUACGAGUUCCUUUCUGAAGGGACAGGACGGCUGCUUUUCCACAGCCGCGACGUGAUUGAGAAAUGGUGGCUGGCAAGGGUAGGCCUGCCUUCGCCCCUCCAAAGUAAAAAUCGGGAGUUGAGACCAGAGGAACAUCUCUUUAUUACAUGACUAAGGAUAUGUUUUGAAAACUGGCCCCCGGGCAGCUGCUCGGGGACAGGAAGCUGACCUGACUUCUCCAGCUGGCCGGGGAGGCUGAUGCCGGGCCUAAGGGGCCGCGUCCGAGCCUCUCGGGGCGCGCCUCCAUGCAGGAAGGCGCGGAACUAGCGACCCGGAGACGCCGGGCGCGCGUCUGAGUGUGGGGGCAGGAAGGGGGGCCGACCGGGCCCGGAGGCCGCACCAGGCAGGAGGGAGGACUCCAGAGAGUGCGCGGGGGGCGCUGCGCGGUGGGACGGGGCGAGCCUGUAGGGCGCGCCUGGCGGCGGCUCUGGGCCAAUCAGAGAAAGCCAAAUGUGCUCCUCACACCAAUCGCGUAAGAAGCCCUGCUUCUAGUAUAGCCCUCCUCCAACUUCCCGAUGCCAACAUCCUCCAAUCAGAGCCAACCUGAAGUUUCUCCCUUUUUUCAGUAUAUGUAAAGCUUUUCCACUCCCCUGCCUGCCUAUGAGUCUGUUAAAUCAAGUGAUGGGUCGCGGCUGACUCUUGCCAGCUCUGAGUAAAUAGCCUAUUCUCAUUUGGUGGUCGUUAUUUCUACACAGCCGGUGGGAAGGUGGUGGAGAAUAGUGAAGACUAUUCUUAAGGUUAAAAAGAAGGUUCGGCUUACAUUUUUUUUUUAUUUUAAAUUUACAGCAUGGCGUCUCCAGCCCAGGUUUUAAAAUACCUUCUAAUGUAAGGAAAUAGCCCUGCACCUUGUGCCCAUCCUAGAGAGAAAAUGGUUUCUUAAUAAAAAAUGUAUGAGGCCUUUUUUGCCCCAAUAUCUUCCCAAGCAGAGGAAUGUGAAGGGGGGUUGGGCCAAGAAGUGAGUGGUAGGAAGAGAGGCCUACGGAUUUAAAACAGGCCACUGCUUGGAGGGGUGUCUUUCCUAAACCACUGAAGAAAUUGAACCAGGCAAAGGAAGGGGGUUCACACCCACAAAUAAACUAUAACCUACAAAAGGAGCCCGGGUUCACAUCCACAAAUAAAUUGUAACCUACACAAGGAGUCUGGUUGAGGUCACAAAACAAAAGCCAGGAGGCAACCAAAAGUAGAAUAUGAAAUAGGUGCUGCCUUCUCACCUAGGAAUCCUUCCAGGGCUAAAACCUUCAAAUAUUCUGCUUUUAAGGUAGUCAGAUACCCUCACAACUCAUUUACAUCAGCCCUUCUCUGUUUUCAAGUGAGAAGCAUAGAUGGUUUAGAAUUAAGCUAUGAACUCUUGGAUCUUUUCUUCCAAGUUUAGUGUUAGUGGUAGAUAGGUCUAGUCCAACUAUCUCAAUACAUUGUUUUCUCCCUAGUUAAAACAGAUUUGCAAGAAUCAUUUGUAUGACACUUUAGGAAUACAGAUAAAUUGCUAGUGCAAAUAAUAUCCUUAUAUUUAUAAAAUAUAUGUGUACUUUUAAAAAAGUUAUAUGAAUCCAAUCCUCUGGCCUUUUAGUUAGUAUUGAGUGUGAUAGUUGUGGGAGAUCUGUAGUAAAUACGGUUUCUGAAGGGUGUGCUAUCAUCCCUAAUGAACUCACCUAUUAAUUGUGGUAAAGAGUUUUUCACUUGGGCUGGGCACGGUGGCUCACGCCUGUAAUCCCAGCACUUUGGGAGGCCGAGGCAGGUGGGUCGACUGAGGUCAGGAGUUCCAGACCAGCCUAGCCAACAUGGUGAAACCCCGUCUGUACUAAAAAAAAAAAAAAGAAAAAAAAUAGCUGGGCAUGGUGGCAGGUGCCUGUAAUCCCAGCUACUUGGGAGGCUGAGGCAGGAGAAUCCCUUGAACCUGGGGAGGCGGAGGUUGCAGUGAGCCAAGAUCGUGCCAUUGCACUCCAGCCUGGGCAACAAGAGCAAAACUCCGUCUCAAAAAAAAAAAAAAAAAGAAAAAGAAAAAGAAAUGAAAAAAAAAGUUUCCCAACAUGUAUUAGCCGUUUUCAUGUUGUCUGUAUUCACCUUUGCGUCAUCACCCCUCUUCAAUUUCCUCCUGGAAUUCAAUCACAGUAAUGGGUUAUCUCAGCAUAUAUUAUUCGCCAGUCUCACAUCCUGACCUCAUUUAUUUACCUAAAAAUAACCAGAACGAAAAAAAAAUCACAGAUUAAUUUACACUUGAUUUCACUUUAACUUCAAUUUAAAAUACUUAGAAUCCAGAAUUCCUAGUAAGUUGAACCUGGAAUACGCAGACCUGUGAUAAUAUCUUAAACACUCAAAUGUUUUCAACUUGCUGAAAUGGAGUUCACACUUUUAACAUUCUGGGCUUUUUUUUUAAAAGGGACUAUAAUACUUUAACUCAAAUUACAAUCAAAUGUGUUCAUUACCUAUAAGAAAAAAAUUUUACCUAUCUCAUAUCUUCAGUGAAAUGAUUAUAUCACAUCUGGCUAAGCUUUACCAUUUGGUAUUUGCCCUCUUUCAAGUGAUUUGCAGUAUAAUACUUUGAUUUCCCAAAAUUUCAACAUACAAAGUUAUUUUCCAAAUAUGCUCAAGCAACAUCUGAUCAUCACUAACAAGACUAAAGGCUAAUAUGCCCAAGGAGCCAAGUCCCGUUUUCUUGGGACUUCAUAGCAGGUAAAAAUUGCCUUUUCAAUUUAUACACCUGAAGAAAGUGAAGCAGCAUCAGUCACUGAGGGCUUAGUAGAGAUGUCCUCAGAGAGGUGCACAUACUGCGCUGAAGUUGAUGCAUACUAAGCAGGCGUGCUUAAUCACUGAGAGGUUACAUCAGGCACAUUUUGUUGGAAUAAAUGUUCCAACCCCUGAGUAAACUCAAAUUGAAAAGUAGGAAAGUUGGCCAGCGCGGUGGCUCACACCUGUAAUCCCAGCACUUUGGGAGGCCAAGGUGGGCGGAUCACGUGAGGUCAGGAGUUCGAGACCAGCCUGGCCAACAUGGUGAAACCCCAUCUCUACUAAAAAUACAAAAAUUAGCCGGGUGUGGCAGCAUGCACCUGUAAUCCCAGCUACUUGGGAGGCUGUGGCGGAGAAUUGCUUGAACCCAGGAGGCAGAGGUUGCAGUGAGCUGAGAUUGCACCACUGCACUCCAACCUGGGUGACAGAGUAAGACUCUGUCUCAAAAAAAAAAAAAAAAAAAAAAGUGUAGGAAAGCAAUAGUACAAACGAGGAGGGGAGUGGGUGAGUUAAACACAUUUUCCCCAAACUGCCAGGUUUACUUUGCAGAAUUUGUAUUCUCUUUCACAGAUAACAUAACCCUCAUUCCCAGCACACCACAACCAAGCUAGCUAGCUGGCUCAGCUCACGGUGUCCUUCGGCCACAUCGGGACUCAGCAUGGUAUAUGUUCUGGUCAUCACCCAGAGAAUUCUAGCUAUUCAUUUUGACUCUUCAGUUUCGCUAAGAUGACUGCAUGCCAGCAAUUUUAACUUAUUUAUUAAUUUGAAAAUAAUGUGUGGCUGGGCCGGGCACAGUGGCUCACGCCUGUAAUCCCAGCACUUUGGGAGGCCGAGGCAGGCGGAUCACGAGGUCAGGAGAUCAAGACCAGCCUGACUAACAUGGUGAAACCCUGUCCCUACUAAAAAUACAAAAAAUUAGCUGGGCGUGGUGGCAUGCACCUGUAGUCCCAGCUACUAGGGAGGCUUAGGCAGGAGAAUUGCUUGAACCCAGGAGGCAGAGGUCGCAGUGAGCCAAGAUCACACCACUGCACUUCAGCCUGGGCAACAGAACGAGACUCCGUCUCAAAAAGAAAAAAAGAAAAGAAAAAAGAAAAAGAAAAUAUGUGUGGCUGGAAGACACUGAAAUCUGGAAAACAGCUAUUUAGGUAUAAAUUUACUUUGACUUACUGAGAUCAAGAAAGAACUGACAUCGUCCUCAUCUAAGAUACCUUGUUCUCCUUGGGUAUUUUCCAAGUUAGUUCAGGGGCAGUUGCCGAGGAAUAACACUGAUGGGGGUUCACACUAUGGCGAUCUUGUUGAACUGCCUGAUGUUGGUUUGUGUAAUCUGCCCCCUUUGUGCCCAAGAACCUGUGACAAGAUUCUGCUUCUGACAACCUUCUGUGCAGGGGUAGCGACAGGAGUCUGAACAAUCAUUAAGUGUCCAGCCCUGGUUUCCUGCCACUAGUCAAUCUGCAGAGACUUUUAUUGAUUCUUGAAAAUACAACUGUGAUUGUAGGUUUGGGCCCUGGGAAUGUAAUUUAUAGCUAAAGAAUGGGCAAUGUCUUCUGUCCUGAGUGCCAUGGUUGGAUUGUGUAACAUCUGUGGCUACCAGGACAAGGAAGGAACAAAGGAAGACAAAAGUAUUUCAGUGCAGAGAUCUUCUCAGUGACCCUCCUUGCUUUUCAUCUGCCUGAUGAAUUUUAAAGACUACUUUUUAUCAUAUCUCCACACCGUAAACUACCCCCUCAGUGGCUCCCAGUUUCCUUUUACUACAUCUAGUCUACACUCCAUAGACCGACUGAGACUGCCAAUAUGCCUACCCAGUCGGAUUUCCUACUCUUCCUCCCCCCAUACAUUUGCUGCUCUGGUCUCCUGAAAGGUUACAUUCCCUCACCUCUGAUUGUUUCCCUUAGAAACCCUCUCAUCUCCUUUCCUCUGGGUCUAUCUAAAUCUCACUCAGAAUCCUAGAUAUAUUACCACAAGCCCCUAUCCUCCUAUGUUUCCCAUUCCUUUGCUCCUGUGCAACCAGGGCUCAGGCUCUGGAGUCAGACAGAUUUAGGUUCAUAAUCCCAGUUCUGCCACUUAUUAACUAUUACUCCAUAAAUGUGGAAACAUUUCUCAACUCU
rnacentral:lncRNA from 10 species